rnacentral:rRNA from 1 species
GAAACUCGCCACAAGAUGAGAAUUCCCUUGAAGGUCGUUGUAGACGACAACGUUGAUAGGAUGCAGAUGUAAAGGUGGUAACACCAAAGUCGAGCAUUACUAAUUACCUGAACGGCUUUCUUAUCG